rnacentral:tRNA from 1 species
GCCGGUGUGGUGAAAUUGGUAUACACGACGGAUUCAAAAUCCGUUGCUCGCAAGGGCGUGGCGGUUCAAGUCCGCCCACCGGUACCA